rnacentral:rRNA from 1 species
GACGAACGCUGGCGGCGUGCCUAACACAUGCAAGUGGAGCGACGAACCGGGCUUCGGCCCGGGGCAAAGCCGCGGACGGGUGAGUAACACGUGGGUAACCUGCCCUGAUGAUCGGGACAGCCCGAGGAAACUCGGGCUAAUACCGAAUGUGCCCUCCGGCCAUAAGGCCACUGGGGAAAGGAAGCUUCGGCCUCCGCAUCGGGAUGGGCCCGCGGCCCAUUAGCUUGUUGGUGAGGUAACGGCNCACCAAGGCAAUGAUGGGUAGCUGGUCUGAGAGGACGAUCAGCCACACUGGGACUGAGACACGGCCCAGACUCCUACGGGAGGCAGCAGUGGGGAAUCUUGCGCAAUGCGCGAAAGCGUGACGCAGCAACGCCGCGUGGGGGAAGACGGCCU